CCCAUAAGACUCAUUUCAUGGUGAUUGGUCACAUAUAGAGUAGACAGACGUAGCAGUCAUAAGUUAUAAACAUCCUGUUUUAUUUUCUUUUACAAGUACAGACAUCUGAACUUUCAGUGUCCAUUUUCAAAGUAUUAAUGGUUCACCUUAUAUUUCACAUUCAGAAAAAUUCUUACGCAUUACUCUUUGGCAAAUAGUAACACCAGCACAGAGGAUGUUCAUAGCUUUGAACCCAUGACAAAACGGAAGUCUAAAGAUGAGUGUGUAACAUCUCCAACUUGAACAAAAAUGUUUGUGUUUUUUUGGUACAUUUUAAAUGUUAUCAGUAACUGUUAAAACAGUUUAAAAACAUCCAAAGCCAGGGGAAUUCUUAAUGCCAAAUUCCUUCAAUUGAUUCUCUCUCCUUCUCUUUUAAAAUUGUAAAAAUGAUUCCGUUGCACUCUUUACUGUUCUCCCCCUUGACGCAAAGUCCUCCCCUUUCCUGAUGGAGGCCUUCAGCUCAUCCAACGCUUCCACCACCAGUUUGUUCUCCAAGGCGGAGAGCUUGCCAAGGCCCAGGUUCCUCUUCACUCCGUGUCUGCCGAGGAGGAGAGGGGUGGAGAAUCCUCCCCUUUCCUGAUGGAGGCCUUCAGCUCAUCCAACGCUUCCACCACCAGUUUGUUCUCCAAGGCGGAGAGCUUGCCAAGGCCCAGGUUCCUCUUCACUCCGUGUCUGCCGAGGAGGAGAGGGGUGGAGAAGUAUGUGCAUUCGCCUUCCUUGGACUUGAUGAACGCACACUCGAUGACCCCUUCUUUGCCAUUCAUGGCAUCUAGCAGAGACACGGCGAACCUAGCCCCUGCGUAUGCCAUAGAGAGGGUUGCAGAGCCUGCCCAGCCUUUGCCUUCACCACCUCAGUGCCUGCGUCUUGGAUACGCCUCGUGAGGUUAGCCAGGGCAUCCGCACUGAACUCCACUUUGGGAGUACACUGAGACAAGACAGGAAUUAUCGUCAUGGCCACCAGCUACGGGAACAUUGACGUGAGCAGGAUUCAGUCCCGUGAGUUCGGCCACGAAGGUGUUAGCCCUGAGGAUGUCUAGAGUCGUCACACCAAAGACCCGCUUAGGGUUGUAAACUCCAUGCUUCUUAAGAAUCUCUGAAGCUAUGGGAACAGUGGAGUUUACUGGGUUGGUAAUUAUACAUAUCAUCGCUUCAGGGCAGUUGCGGGCACAGGCAUCAGCCAGGGUGGCCACGAUGGAGGCGUUGGUCUCAAAGAGGUCAUCCCGUGUCAUCCCGUGUCAUCCCAGGCUUCCUGGGCACUCCAGCAGGAGUGAGGACAGCUUCACUCCCCUUCAGAGCUUGCGGGAGUUGCUCUGGGCCGACGUAGCCAGUGAUCUGGGCCCUGGUCUCGAUGUGGCUACUGCUACUUCCACAACAAACAAUUCAGAAAACUCCGGAAAAAAUAAGUAUGCAUGUACUGUAUAUGUGACCCAUCACCACGAAAUGAGUCUUAAGUCGCACUUGUAGAAGUACACCCAUAAGACUCAUUUCAUGGUGAUUGGUCACAUAUAGAGUAGACAGACGUAGCAGUCAUAAGUUAUAAACAUCCUGUUUUAUUUUCUUUUACAAGUACAGACAUCUGAACUUUCAGUGUCCAUUUUCAAAGUAUUAAUGGUUCACCUUAUAUUUCACAAUCAGAAAAAUUCUUACGCAUUACUCUUUGGCAAAUAGUAACACCAGCACAGAGGAUGUUCAUAGCUUUGAACCCAUGACAAAACGGAAGUCUAAAGAUGAGUGUGUAACAUCUCCAACUUGAACAAAAAUGUUUGGGUUUUUUUGGUACAUUUUAAAUGUUAUCAGUAACUGUUAAAACAGUUUAAAAACAUCCAAAGCCAGGGGAAUUCUUAAUGCCAAAUUCCUUCAAUUGAUUCUCUCUCCUUCUCUUUUAAAAUUGUAAAAAUGAUUCCGUUGCACUCUUUACUGUUCUCCCCCUUGACGCAAAGUCCUCCCCUUUCCUGAUGGAGGCCUUCAGCUCAUCCAACGCUUCCACCACCAGUUUGUUCUCCAAGGCGGAGAGCUUGCCAAGGCCCAGGUUCCUCUUCACUCCGUGUCUGCCGAGGAGGAGAGGGGUGGAGAAGUAUGUGCAUUCGCCUUCCUUGGACUUGAUGAACGCACACUCGAUGACCCCUUCUUUGCCAUUCAUGGCAUCUAGCAGAGACACGGCGAACCUAGCCCCUGCGUAUGCCAUAGAGAGGGUUGCAGAGCCUGCCCAGCCUUUGCCUUCACCACCUCAGUGCCUGCGUCUUGGAUACGCCUCGUGAGGUUAGCCAGGGCAUCCGCACUGAACUCCACUUUGGGAGUACACUGAGACAAGACAGGAAUUAUCGUCAUGGCCACCAGCUACGGGAACAUUGACGUGAGCAGGAUUCAGUCCCGUGAGUUCGGCCACGAAGGUGUUAGCCCUGAGGAUGUCUAGAGUCGUCACACCAAAGACCCGCUUAGGGUUGUAAACUCCAUGCUUCUUAAGAAUCUCUGAAGCUAUGGGAACAGUGGAGUUUACUGGGUUGGUAAUUAUACAUAUCAUCGCUUCAGGGCAGUUGCGGGCACAGGCAUCAGCCAGGGUGGCCACGAUGGAGGCGUUGGUCUCAAAGAGGUCAUCCCGUGUCAUCCCAGGCUUCCUGGGCACUCCAGCAGGAGUGAGGACAGCUUCACUCCCCUUCAGAGCUUGCGGGAGUUGCUCUGGGCCGACGUAGCCAGUGAUCUGGGCCCUGGUCUCGAUGUGGCUACUGCUACUUCCACAACAAACAAUUCAGAAAACUCCGGAAAAAAUAAGUAUGCAUGUACUGUAUAUGUGACCCAUCACCACGAAAUGAGUCUUAAGUCGCACUUGUAGAAGUACACCCAUAAGACUCAUUUCAUGGUGAUUGGUCACAUAUAGAGUAGACAGACGUAGCAGUCAUAAGUUAUAAACAUCCUGUUUUAUUUUCUUUUACAAGUACAGACAUCUGAACUUUCAGUGUCCAUUUUCAAAGUAUUAAUGGUUCACCUUAUAUUUCACAAUCAGAAAAAUUCUUACGCAUUACUCUUUGGCAAAUAGUAACACCAGCACAGAGGAUGUUCAUAGCUUUGAACCCAUGACAAAACGGAAGUCUAAAGAUGAGUGUGUAACAUCUCCAACUUGAACAAAAAUGUUUGGGUGUUUUUGGUACAUUUUAAAUGUUAUCAGUAACUGUUAAAACAGUUUAAAAACAUCCAAAGCCAGGGGAAUUCUUAAUGCCAAAUUCCUUCAAUUGAUUCUCUCUCCUUCUCUUUUAAAAUUGUAAAAAUGAUUCCGUUGCACUCUUUACUGUUCUCCCCCUUGACGCAAAGUCCUCCCCUUUCCUGAUGGAGGCCUUCAGCUCAUCCAACGCUUCCACCACCAGUUUGUUCUCCAAGGCGGAGAGCUUGCCAAGGCCCAGGUUCCUCUUCACUCCGUGUCUGCCGAGGAGGAGAGGGGUGGAGAAGUAUGUGCAUUCGCCUUCCUUGGACUUGAUGAACGCACACUCGAUGACCCCUUCUUUGCCAUUCAUGGCAUCUAGCAGAGACACGGCGAACCUAGCCCCUGCGUAUGCCAUAGAGAGGGUUGCAGAGCCUGCCCAGCCUUUGCCUUCACCACCUCAGUGCCUGCGUCUUGGAUACGCCUCGUGAGGUUAGCCAGGGCAUCCGCACUGAACUCCACUUUGGGAGUACACUGAGACAAGACAGGAAUUAUCGUCUUGCCCGCAUGGCCACCAGCUACGGGAACAUUGACGUGAGCAGGAUUCAGUCCCGUGAGUUAGGCCACGAAGGUGUUAGCCCUGACGAUGUCUAGAGUCGUCACACCAAAGACCCGCUUAGGGUUGUAAACUCCAUGCUUCUUAAGAAUCUCUGAAGCUAUGGGAACAGUGGAGUUUACUGGGUUGGUGAUUAUACAUAUCAUCGCUUCAGGGCAGUUGCGGGCACAGGCAUCAGCCAGGGUGGCCACGAUGGAGGCGUUGGUAUCAAAGAGGUCAUACCGUGCCAGUGACCUGGGUCCUGGUCUCGAUGUGGCUGAGGUUUGCAGCUACUCCGAGGGUGUGGACAACAUCCCUAGGCCCAAAGAUAAUGAUGGCAAAAUUAAGCUUUCUGAGGUACUGAAGCUUUUUCCAAGUGUGAAAAAUCAUUCAGUGCUCGAUGCUUUUCUAAAUAGUGACACCAGGUGGUCAAAUAAGUAAAUAGCAGUUCAUUUUGACUGAGUGUAGUACAUCAGAAUAUACACAAGUAGGCAAAAUAUAAGUGGUCUGUAGCGCAAAGGGGUUACGGAAGUCAGGGGCCCUCCUGGAUGUAUCAUUUUCAGUGCAUGUACUGUAUAUAGAGCAGACAGGUGUAGGAGUCAUAAGUCAUAAACAUCCUAUUUUAUUUUCUUUUACAAGCACAAACAUAAUAUCUGAACUUUGUGUCCAUUUUCAAAGUAUUAAUGGUUCACGUUAUAUUUCACAUUGAGAAAAAUCGAAUUCCAGCAAUUGAACCAGCAUAACGUUGUGUUCUUAUGCAUUACCCAUUGGCAAAUAGUAAUUAUACAUAUUAUCGCAUAAGGGCAGUUGUGGGCACAGGCAUCAGCCAGGGUGGCCACGAUGGAGGCGUUGGUAUCAAAGAGGUCAUCCCGUGUCAUCCCGGGCUUCCUGGGCACUCCAGUAGGAAUGAGGACAGCUUCACUCCCCUUCAGAGCUUGCGGGAGUUGCUUUGGGCCGGCGUAGCCAGUGGCCUGGGCCCUGGUCUCAAUGUGGCAGUCAUUUGGAACUACUCUGAGGGUGUGGACAACAUCAUAAAGUGAGAGCUGGCUGACCAGUGGACUCUUCUUCAGGAGCAGUGACAGGGGCUGGCUGAUGCCCCCAAACGCACCCAACACUGCCACCUUUGUUUUGCUCCCGGCAUUGUAUUGCAAUGCUCGCAGCUGAUCUGGCGAUGCGAGAGAACAUUCUGAUGCGAGAGAGUACUGCUUUGCUGGUAAUCUGAAAACAAAAUGAGAAUUCUGUAGACUUUCCCUUAGCAACAGUGAGAUUUAUUCCCUGGGUUUUAGAGCUUAUACACGUAAGUAACUACGUAAAUACGCAAACUAGGGAUGCAACAUCUCCUUCGAAAUGGACUGGGACUGGAACUGAAUGGAAGAACAUCACUUUGUGGAUGAAAUGUGUUUCGGGAGUGAAAGAAAUGCAUUUUGUGUAUGUUGCAGGUGCAUGCCUGUGUAGUACCUUCUAAUCCCUACACAGUAGGUAUACUAACUGAGUAACAAACUGUUAAAAACACAGCUAAAUUGUUUACAUUUGCAGAGUAAUGGUCUUUAGGUCUCCGCUAUCCAGAUAACAUUUGUUCUUUUGUCAUACACAUCUUCAGUGCUAUCGUCACUAUUUCAAAUUGAGAUGGGCAUGGUGAUUAAUCUUCAAAAGUUCAAGAAAAUAAAAUUGUCAGUAGUUCUAGGUAAGUCAUAACUGUUUAUUGUAUUCUGAAUCAGUUCUGCUUCAUGUAGACAAUUGCCAAAUAUAGUAUAUGAUUGAGUUGAUCUGUUUUUGCUAAUAUACAUCCACUUUUUCAAUGGGGAAGUAACUUUAACACUGUUUUGAUCCAACUUGCAUUCAGGCUAUGGCGUUGAGAUGGCCUUGGUUAGCAUAUAGCAAUGCUCAUUAUACUAUAUUCUUAAAGCACAUUAUUGCAUCUGUGCUGGCCUUUGAUCUGAUCUAGUUUAUACUAUGUAUGCAAUACCAGUCAAAUGUUUUAGCACACCACAGGUGUUCACUUUUCUAUCUAUUUCAUAAAUUGCUGAUUUUUUAUUAUUGUUAAGCACUGGAAAAUUGAGUGAACUAUAAAUGAAAAUUUACGUCAAAACAAGUUUCCUUUAUAACAUAGAAAGAGUAUGUAACGGUGCAUAUCUGACAUCCUGUUAACUGGUUGUGUGAUGAUUCCAUAGUCAAAUUGUUUUGCUAAUAAAGGUACUCAAAUGGUGAACGUACUGUAAAUUUGUUUGUUAGCAAAGAAUAUUGAGUGUAUUUUUGGUAGAUGUUAAGUGACUAACAUGCAAAUAUAGAAAGUCUCAGUGUGUGCAGAA